UACGAAGGGGGCUAGCGUUGUUCGGAAUUACUGGGCGUAAAGCGCGCGCAGGCGGCCAUUCAAGUCAGGGGUGAAAGCCCAGAGCUCAACUCUGGAACUGCCCUUGAAACUGUAUGGCUUGAGUAUGAGAGAGGUGAGUGGAAUUCCCAGUGUAGAGGUGAAAUUCGUAGAUAUUCGGAAGAACACCAGUGGCGAAGGCGACUCGCUGGACAAGUAUUGACGCUGAGGUGCGAAAGCGUGGGAGCAACAGG
rnacentral:rRNA from 1 species